rnacentral:tRNA from 1 species
ACUUGAAUAGUUUAAUUAAAAUGUAAACUUGUGGUGUUUAAGAUGUAAAAUUUUACUUUAAGUA